rnacentral:rRNA from 1 species
AUUGAACGCUGGCGGCAGGCCUAACACGUGCAAGUCGAGCGGAUGAGUGGAGCUUGCUCCAUGAUUCAGCGGCGGACGGGUGAGUAAUGCCUAGGAAUCUGCCUGGUAGUGGGGGACAACGUUUCGAAAGGAACGCUAAUACCGCAUACGUCCUACGGGAGAAAGCAGGGGACCUUCGGGCCUUGCGCUAUCAGAUGAGCCUAGGUCGGAUUAGCUAGUAGGUGAGGUAAAGGCUCACCUAGGCGACGAUCCGUAACUGGUCUGAGAGGAUGAUCAGUCACACUGGAACUGAGACACGGUCCAGACUCCUACGGGAGGCAGCAGUGGGGAAUAUUGGACAAUGGGCGAAAGCCUGAUCCAGCCAUGCCGCGUGUGUGAAGAAGGUCUUCGGAUUGUAAAGCACUUUAAGUUGGGAGGAAGGGCAGUAAGUUAAUACCUUGCUGUUUUGACGUUACCAACAGAAUAAGCACCGGCUAACUUCGUGCCAGCAGCCGCCGUAAGAC